rnacentral:lncRNA from 1 species
UCAUUGAGGUGAUGGCUGAGCAUAUGACGCCCUGCUGCUGCAUACUAGUGCAUUAAGUUCGUAGGUCAAAGUUAAUAUCUUCUCAACCGUACUGUCAUGGUUAAGUCCAAUCUACGUCUCAUGGUAUUAAUCAGAUCCACUAACUUAAUCGGCUUGUAGGUGGUAGUGAAAGGAUCUACGAUGUCGACUAGAGGAGGGUGAAUAGUCGAACCUGAAAAUUUUCAUAACUUUAAACAAGUUUAUCAGUGACUUCUAGAGUUUCCGGAAAUUCCGCAACUUACGGAAUUUUCGGAGAAAUCUUUGGAUAAUCCGGAGAAACAAGAAUUUGAAUUACGACCUUUUGAAAGACUUGCUCAAAUGUAAAUCGUCGAAUAUAGAUUAAGUAACAGGAUAUUCUAGGCCUUUGGCACAAUAGAUACUCUUCAAUCUCGCCCUUUUUGGUGAUUGAUGACAAUAUGCUUAACUCUUACAAAUGAGAGUAUAAUGUAUCAAAAACAUAAAGGAUAAAGCAAGAGCAUGUGCAACUCCCCC